rnacentral:rRNA from 1 species
GGCUUAACACAUGCAAGUCGAACGAUAAGCUAGACUUCGGUUUAGUGGACAGUGGCAGGCGGGUGAGUAACGCGUGGGAAUCUACCUUAGAGUGGGGAAUAACAAUUAGAAAUGAUUGCUAAUACCGCAUAUACCCUCCGGGGGAAAGGCUUCGGCCGCUCUUAGAUGAGCCCGCGUACGAUUAGUUUGUUGGUGAGGUAAAGGCUCACCAAGACUACGAUCGUUAGCUGGUUUGAGAGGAUGAUCAGCCACACUGGGACUGAGACACGGCCCAGACUCCUACGGGAGGCAGCAGUGGGGAAUAUUGGACAAUGGGCGAAAGCCUGAUCCAGCUAUGCCGCGUGAGUGAAGAAGGCCUUAGGGUUGUAAAACUCUUUCGACAGGGAAGAUAAUGACGGUACCCGUAGAAGAAGCUCCGGCUAACUCCGUGCCAGCAGCCGCGGUAAUACGGAGGGAGCUAGCGUUGUUCGGAAUUACUGGGCGUAAAGAGCGUGUAGGCUGUUAGGUAAGUCAGAGGUGAAAUCCCUAAGCUCAACUUAGGAACUGCCUUUGAUACUAUCUUACCAGAGAUCGAGAGAAGUUAGCGGAAUUCCAAG